rnacentral:ncRNA from 1 species
UGGCGCGAGCUACCGUGCGCUGGAUUAUGACUGAACGCCUCUAAGUCAGAAUCCGGGCCAGAAGCGACGCGUUGUCCGCCGCUCGUUUGCCGACCAGCAGUAGGGGCCCUCCGGCCCCCAAAGGCACGUGUCGUUGGCUAAGCCCUCGCGGCGGACGAGCCGCGCGGGCCGCCUUGAAUUACAAUUUCCACCGGGCGGCGGACUGAAUCCUUUGCAGACGACUUAAAUACGCGACGGGGUAUUGUAAGUGGCAGAGUGGCCUUGCUGCCACGAUCCACUGAGAUUCAGCCCUUCGUCGCUCCGAUUCGU